GGACACUAUGGAAGGUCGACCACUGGAGGGGUCCAGAGGAAAUUUGUCCGUUGGAGGGGUCUGGUUGGCACUGUUGAAGUUUGAUUGGUACUAUUGAAGGUUGAUGGCUGGAGAAGUAUGGAAGACACAGGAGACAGUCGGUCAUUGUAGAAAUCCGACUGCUGGAGCCCGUCCAUUGUAGAAGUUCGUCUGGAAUCCAUCCGCUGUAGAAGUUCGGAUGGAGUCUGAUUCUUGCAGAAGUU
rnacentral:lncRNA from 1 species